rnacentral:rRNA from 1 species
AUUGAACGCUGGCGGCAUGCCUUACACAUGCAAGUCGAACGGCAGCACGGGGCAACCUGGUGGCGAGUGGCGAAUGGGUGAGUAAUGCAUCGGAACGUACCUUUCAGUGGGGGAUAACGUAGCGAAAGUUACGCUAAUACCGCAUAUUCUGUGAGCAGGAAAGCAGGGGAUCGCAAGACCUUGCGCUGAUUGAGCGGCCGAUGUCAGAUUAGCUAGUUGGUGAGGUAAAGGCUCACCAAGGCGACGAUCUGUAGCGGGUCUGAGAGGAUGAUCCGCCACACUGGAACUGAGACACGGUCCAGACUCCUACGGGAGGCAGCAGUGGGGAAUUUUGGACAAUGGGGGCAACCCUGAUCCAGCCAUGCCGCGUGAGUGAAGAAGGCCUUCGGGUUGUAAAGCUCUUUCGGCCGGGAAGAAAUCGUAUGGGCUAAUACCCUGUGCGGAUGACGGUACCGGCAUAAGAAGCACCGGCUAACUACGUGCCAGCCGCCGCAGUAAUAC